GUUUAAUAUGUUAAUAUAUUUAGCGUAUUAAUGAGUUUAUCACAAACUCCUAGGAGAAACCUAGGUCCAAUCCAGUGCCAUGUUGGGUCUAGUUGCUCUUAGUCUUAGCUUGACCCACACCCUGGUUGUUCAAAGUCUUAACCCCAAGCUUCUGCAGCUGUUUCAAGUUUUCCUUUUGCUAAUCAGGUUAAACUGCUGCUGGGAAUUGUCUUUCUCCUGCAGCCACCCUGAAUGACCCCUGUCCCGGGGGGACAGAGGCACAGGCCCUUACAUGCUUACUCCUGGAAGGGAUGCAAGAAGCCUGCUCACAUCUCAUAGCCCAAGGGACGUGCAAGGGGCAGUGGCAUCCUCAUGCAAGCUGGUCUACUGGUGGCUGCCCCACUGACCUGCUUCUGAAUGGACAGGCAGGAAAGGUCUCCCACUGUGUUGCAUUUAAAGAAAAGAAAAAGAUGAAUGAAGUAAAAAGCUCUGCAAACAACUGAGUGUAAUUAUUGGGUAUGUAUACAUUUAUGCAUAUUUUCCUUUUUGAAUCUGUUGAUUUAUUGCUUUUUAAAUGAAAAAUGGAUCUGUCCAAAAGGUGAAAAUAAAGGAUUUUAUAUUUCUUUCUUCUUUCAGCUGUUUUAGCCUAAGAACAGAAAACCCCCAGCCCGUUUAGUAUUCUAGGCAUUUAAAAGACCCUCAAGUAUCAGCUCUUUGGAAGCCCAGUGUUUUUAAAUUUGCAGAAUAGACAGGGCAAGAUGCC
rnacentral:lncRNA from 10 species